GCUGGAGGGAUCGUGUUCUUCCCGAGGCCGAAAACAUAACAGGAACAUCGCGUUAAGUGGAUCAAACAUCGUGGAAGGCCCCACUCCAGCUAAACCUCAGGAAAAUAAACACAAGGAGUCCAGCCGAGAGAAGACGUUUAUUCAGGCGGCGUAAGUGAACAGACCUCUGGGUGAACUGUAGACUGGCCUCAUCCAGACUGGCCUCAUCCAGACUAUCCUCAUCCAGACUAACCUCAUCCAGACUGGCCUCAUCCAGACUAUCCUCAUCCAGACUAGC